rnacentral:rRNA from 1 species
GAGCGCUCCCUUAUCCUUAUUUGCCAGCACUUUAGUUCGGGGAACUCUAGGGAGACUGCCGGUGAUAACCCGGAGGAAGGUGGGGACGACGUCAUCUCCUCGUGGCCUUUACGAGUAGGGCUACACACGUGCUACAGUGGCUUAUACAGAGGGCAGCAACACCGCGAGGUGGAGCAAAUCCCAAAAAGUGCGUCGUAGUCCGGAUUGGAGUCUGCAACUCGACUCCGUGAAGUCGGAAUCGCUAGUAAUCGUGGAUCAGAAUGCCACGGUGAAUACGUUCCCGGGCCUUGUACACAC